ensembl:lncRNA
AUGGUCGUGACACGCCGCACAGCGCGUUCCCCAGUGGCUGUUGGAGUUGCUGUGUCAGAGGCUGCGACCCAGACCGACCCUCUGAUAGUAGAUGCGGCUCUACAGGUCUCAGGCUGCAGGGAGUGCUUGGGGCCUCUCCGGGAGGCCUGGGCUGGCAGCCAGCUCUCCUGCAGGAGGUGUGCUGCUGUUGRCGAGCUGUGUCRUCAGGUAAGGGAGUUACGGGAGGAAGUCAGUAGGCUGCGCAGCAUCCGGGAAGCGGAGCAAGAGAUAGACAGGGUAUUUUCGGAGACUGUGCAGCUUCGGGAGUCCCAACCCCCUGCAGCAGUGGAGUUGCCAGAGGGCUCUGUGCCAUGUGAAACAGUAGAUCAUGACACCAUAGAAGAAGGCUGGAAACUGGUCACUGCUCGUGGGAGGAGAAAGGCUCCUACCCCUCCCGAAGACCUGAUGCUGAAGAACAGGUUUAGUGCCCUCCAGGAUGAGGAGGACAUGGGCAUGGCUGCAAGGGAAAUACCUGGGAGAACAGACCCUAUGCCCUGCCGGAACGCCCGGAAGAAGAGGCGGGUGAUUGUUGUGGGGGACUCCCUGCUGCAGGGAACGGAGGCACCAAUCUGCCGACUUGACCCCAUGUCUAGAGAGGUUUGUGGCCUGCCAGGGGCUCAUGUGAGAGAUGUCAUGCAAAGACUGCCAAGGCUUGUCCACACUUCGGACUAUUACCCACUGCUGCUCUUCCAUGUGGGCRCCAAUGACACCAAGGGCAAACUGGAGACCAUCAAGCAGGAUUUCAGAGCUCUGGGGAUGGUGGUCAAGGGUCUGGGAGCCCAGGUCAUCUUCUCCUCAAUCCUACCAGUGAGGGGGAUGGAUGAGAGGAGGAGGAGACGGACUUUCCAAAUUAACGACYGGCUGCGCCGCUGGUGUUGGCAACAGGGCUUUGGUUUCUACGACCAUGGGACCCUGUUUGAAGAUCAACAACUUCUGGGGACAGAUGCGAUCCGCCUCACUGAGCGGGGCACACGUGUCUUUGCCAACAGGUUGGCCAACCUGGUAAGGAGGGCUUUAAACUAG